AUUGAACGCUGGCGGCAGGCUUAACACAUGCAAGUCGAGCGAGCGGCGGACGGGUGAGUAAUGUCUGGGAAACUGCCUGAUGGAGGGGGAUACCUACUGGAAACGGUAGCUAAUACCGCAUACCAUCAGAUGUGCCCAGAUGGGAUUAGCUAGUGGGUGGGGUAACGGCUAACCUAGGCGACGAUCCCUAGCUGGUCUGAGAGGAUGACCAGCCACACUGGAACGGAGACACGGUCCAGACUCAUACGGUAGGCAGCAGUGGGGAAUAUUGCACAAUGGGCGCAAGCCUGAUGCAGCCAUGCCGCGUGUGUGAAGAAGGCCUUCGGGUUGUAAAGUACUUUCAGCGAGGAGGCGUUACCCGCAGAAGAAGCACCGGCUAACUCCGUGCCAGCAGCCGCGGUAAUAC
rnacentral:rRNA from 1 species